rnacentral:lncRNA from 1 species
UAACAUAUUCUAACCCCAAACAACAUUAUAUAAGUCAUUUAGUGGUUCAACUCAAUGUUUUCGAGUUCUUAGCCCAUUUGGGACCCAAUUUCAACAAGUUUUUCUACACACUUCUAAACACUCUUCAUGCAUCUCUAGCACUUGUAAUCAAUCAAAGUUAUUGUAUUCUAACAUAUUCUAACCCCAAGCAACAGUAGAUAAGUCAUUUAGUGGUUCAACUCAAUGUUUCCGAGUUCUUAGCCCAUUUGGG